ensembl:snoRNA
UGGAUCGAUGAUGACCACUGGUGGCGUAUGAGUCGUAUGCGAUGAAUACGUGUCUGGAACUCUGAGGUCCAA